rnacentral:misc_RNA from 1 species
GCUUGAAAAAUAUGACUGGGUAAAGCCUGAUUUAAUCAAUCCACCGAGUCAAUUUGAAUUAUCCAGUCCUGAUCAAAAGAAAUAACAACACGAAGCUCAAUUACCACAAAAUUUCAACUAGAAAUACUCGCCUUUCUUAAUUCUCAUAGGAUCCAAGCGAAAUCGAGCUGAGAAGACGCAGAUUUUGUCAUAUUUAACUCUACUUUUUAAAAUGAAAUACACA